rnacentral:rRNA from 1 species
UACAGAGGGGGCAAGCGUUAUUCGGAAUUACUGGGCGUAAAGCGUGCGCAGGCGGUGAUGUAAGACAGAUGUGAAAUCCCCGGGCUCAACUUGGGAACUGCAUUUGUGACUGCAUCGCUGGAGUGCGGCAGAGGGGGAUGGAAUUCCGCGUGUAGCAGUGAAAUGCGUAGAUAUGCGGAGGAACACCGAUGGCGAAGGCAAUCCCCUGGGCCUGCACUGACGCUCAUGCACGAAAGCGUGGGGAGCAAACAGG